rnacentral:rRNA from 1 species
AUACGGAGGAUCCGAGCGUUAUCCGGAUUUAUUGGGUUUAAAGGGUGCGCAGGCGGGAGAUUAAGUCGGCGGGGAAAUUUUGCAGCUUAACUGUAAAAGUGCCUUCGAAACUGGGUUCCUUGAGUGUAGAUGGAGGCGGCGGAAUUUGGGGUGUAACGGUGAAAUGCAUAGAUAUCACGAGGAACUCCGAUUGCGCAGGCAGCGUACUAAACUACUACUGACGCUCAGGCACGAAGGCGUGAGGAUCAAACAGGAUUAGAUACCCUGGUAGUCCACGCAGUAAACGAUGAGUACUAGCUGUUUGCGAUACAAUGUAAGCGGCUGAGCGAAAGCGUUAAGUAAUCCCCCUGGGGAGUACGUUCGCAAGAAUGAAACUCAAAUGAAUGGGCGG